CCUACGGGAGGCAGCAGUGAGGAAUAUUGGUCAAUGGACGAGAGUCUGAACCAGCCAAGUAGCGUGAAGGAUGACUGCCCUAUGGGUUGUAAACUUCUUUUAUAUGGGAAUAAAAUGUUCCACGUGUGGGAUUUUGUAUGUACCAUAUGAAUAAGGAUCGGCUAACUCCGUGCCAGCAGCCGCGGUAAUACGGAGGAUCCGAGCGUUAUCCGGAUUUAUUGGGUUUAAAGGGAGCGUAGGUGGAUUGUUAAGUCAGUUGUGAAAGUUUGCGGCUCAACCGUAAAAUUGCAGUUGAAACUGGCAGUCUUGAGUACAGUAGAGGUGUGCGGAAUGCGUGGUGUAGCGGUGAAAUGCUUAGAUAUCACGAAGAACUCCGAUUGCGAAGGCAGUUCACUGGACUGCAACUGACACUGAGGCUCGAAAGUGUGGGUAUCAAACAGGAUUAGAGACCCGUGUAGUC
rnacentral:rRNA from 1 species